AGUGAACGCUGGCGGUAGGCCUAACACAUGCAAGUCGAACGGCAGCACAGAGGAGCUUGCUCCUUGGGUGGCGAGUGGCGGACGGGUGAGGAAUACAUCGGAAUCUACUCUGUCGUGGGGGAUAACGUAGGGAAACUUACGCUAAUACCGCAUACGACCUACGGGUGAAAGCAGGGGAUCUUCGGACCUUGCGCGAUUGAAUGAGCCGAUGUCGGAUUAGCUAGUUGGCGGGGUAAAGGCCCACCAAGGCGACGAUCCGUAGCUGGUCUGAGAGGAUGAUCAGCCACACUGGAACUGAGACACGGUCCAGACUCCUACGGGAGGCAGCAGUGGGGAAUAUUGGACAAUGGGCGCAAGCCUGAUCCAGCCAUACCGCGUGGGUGAAGAAGGCCUUCGGGUUGUAAAGCCCUUUUGUUGGGAAAGAAAUCCAGCCGGCUAAUACCUGGUUGGGAUGACGGUACCCAAAGAAUAAGCACCGGCUAACUUCGUG
rnacentral:rRNA from 1 species